rnacentral:pre_miRNA from 1 species
AAACUACUUCCUCCGUUUCAAAAUUCUUGUCUUAGAUUUAUUUAGAUAUGAAUGUAUCUAGUCAAGUUUUAGUAUUUAGAUACAUCCAUUUCAAGACAAAGCUAAGACAAGAAUUUUAGAACGGAGGGAGUAUGAU